AAUGAACGUUGGCGGCGUGGAUUAGGCAUGCAAGUCGAGCGAGAAUCCCCAGCAAUGGGGAGGACAGCGGCGAAAGGGAGAGGAAUACGCGGGUACCUACCCCCGGAUCUGGGAUAGCCACGGGAAACUGUGGGUAAUACCAGAUGAUGUCUCCGGACCAAAGGUGUGAUUCCGUCCGGGGAGGGGCCCACGUCCUAUUAGCUUGUUGGUGGGGUAACGGCCUACCAAGGCAAUGAUGGGUACGGGGCGUGAGAGCGUGCCCCCGCUCACUGGGACUGAGACACUGCCCAGACACCUACGGGUGGCUGCAGUCGAGGAUCUUCGGCAAUGGGCGCAAGCCUGACCGAGCGACGCCGCGUGCGGGAUGAAGGCCUUCGGGUUGUAAACCGCCGUCGGAGGGGAGGAAAUGUCGGGAAGUAAUCAAUAAUCGACCUGAUUUGACCUAUCCUCAGAGGAAGUACGGGCUAAGUUCGUGCCAGCAGCCGCCGUAACAC
rnacentral:rRNA from 1 species